rnacentral:rRNA from 1 species
UACACUCCUGCGGGAGGCAGCAGUGGGGAAUAUUGGACAAUGGGCGCAAGCCUGAUCCAGCCAUGCCGCGUGAGUGAUGAAGGCCCUAGGGUUGUAAAGCUCUUUCACCGGUGAAGAUAAUGACGGUAACCGGAGAAGAAGCCCCGGCUAACUUCGUGCCAGCAGCCGCGGUAAUACGAAGGGGGCUAGCGUUGUUCGGAUUUACUGGGCGUAAAGCGCACGUAGGCGGACUAUUAAGUCAGGGGUGAAAUCCCGGGGCUCAACCCCGGAACUGCCUUUGAUACUGGUAGUCUUGAGUUCGAGAGAGGUGAGUGGAAUUCCGAGUGUAGAGGGGAAAUUCGUAGAUAUUCGGAGGAACACCAGUGGCGAAGGCGGCUCACUGGCUCGAUACUGACGCUAAGGUGCGAAAGCGUGGGGAGCAAACAGGAUUAGAAACCCGGGUAGUCCCAUGA